UUGACUGGGUGAAGUGGGGUGGGGGGGCAGAGGCUAAGGCUAGAAAGCUAGAGCCAGAAGGCUGAGCUCCAUUUUGAAAGGACUAGAAAUGACAUCUUCAUGAAGAGCAGAUGGGAACAGAAGAAGAGCUCCAGGUGUGGUAGAAGAUGCCAGAGUUGAGUAUGAACUUGUGUGUUAUGGUGAUGGACUUUAUUUUGGAACACUGCGGAUUGCCAUGAACAGUUUCUGUUAUUAAACUGGCCCAGGCAGGAGUGGUGUUAGCUAGAAGAGACUGUGGAGACUUUCAGGGACUCUGAAGAAGGAAAACAGGCUGCUGCAGAACCAGCCCUUUGUAUAUGGCAGGGUGAAGUCACUCCAGUGUGGAGAGCCGACAUAUCGACAGCCCACUUGCCCCACCAAAAAAAAAGGGGGAAGAAUCUGCUAUGUUGUGUGAAGAUCUACAUUGGAUCUGAUUUUGAGAUACAUUAAUUAUAUCAAUUUAAUAAUUGAAGAAACAUUGACUUCAGGUACUCGAUUUAUCUGCAUUUUGGGGGUUAUUAAGAGAACUCCUAGACACAUCUUCAUUUCAUCUUCUCCUUCCUGAUCUUGAAUAUAAAAUAUCUUGAUGUGCUGUUUGUCUGCAUUUUUAUCUAAUCAACUAAACAAAUAUAAAUAAUUCAGUUGUUUCAAUGGC